CGCUUAACACAUGCAAGUCGAACGGCAGCACAAAGAGCUUGCUCUUGGGUGGCGAGUGGCGGACGGGUGAGUAAUGCGUAGGAAUCUACCAUAGAGAGGGGGACAACUCGGGGAAACUCGAGCUAAUACCGCAUAUUGUCUGAGGACAAAAGGUGGCGCCUGUUUACAGGGCUAUCGCUCUACGAUGAGCCUACGUCGGAUUAGCUAGUUGGCGGGGUAAAGGCCCACCAAGGCGACGAUCCGUAGCUGGUCUGAGAGGAUGAUCAGCCACACUGGGACUGAGACACGGCCCAGACUCCUACGGGAGGCAGCAGUGGGGAAUAUUGGACAAUGGGGGCAACCCUGAUCCAGCGAUGCCGCGUGUGUGAAGAAGGCCUGCGGGUUGUAAAGCAC
rnacentral:rRNA from 1 species